UUUAGGAUCUUCGUGACUUGAAGUGAAUGUUCAACUGUGAGACGAAUUCUCGCUGAAGUGAGCGAAGGAACACUUCAUUGUACUGCACUUAAAAAAGAGCUGCUUAUAUCAGUAGAGAACCUGAACAAAAAAUUAGAUACAAAUAAUGCCUUAAUAAGUCAACUUAUUGGAGUAUUUAAUCAAAACAGGGAAGCAAUUUUUGUUGAUAACUCUUUUGAAAUUCCAGUAAAUGAUGAGGCAAGCUUACUCAAAUUAAAUGAAGACAUCGAAUUAGAAAAAAAAGUUAUGAAUGCACUGAGCUUGAAAUUGGCAUUACGUAGUGGCUCAACAAUUAAGAGGAUUGUUUGAGAGUUUUAUUCCAAUAUAGAAACGAAAAAAAUUGGUCAGGAGCUAACAAUAUGCUAGCUUUGAAAGCAAUGCCUUUAAAAAAGGUUU